rnacentral:misc_RNA from 1 species
GAUGAAGAACGCAGCGAAAUGCGAUAAGUAAUGUGAAUUGCAGAAUUCAGUGAAUCAUCGAAUCUUUGAACGCACAUUGCGCCCGCUAGUAUUCUGGCGGGCAUGCCUGUCCGAGCGUCAUUUCAACCCUCAAGCCCCCGGGCUUGGUGUUGGGGAUCGGCGAGCCUCCGCGCCCGCCGUCCCCUAAAUCUAGUGGCGGUCUCGCUGUAGCUUCCUCUGCGUAGUAGCACACCUCGCACUGGGAAACAGCGCGGCCACGCCGUUAAACCCCCAACUUCUGAACGUUUGACCUCGGAUCAGGUAGGAAUACCCGCUGAACUUUAGCAUAUCAAUAAGCGGAGGA